AUGCCUGCAAUAAUGCGCCCCCGUCGCGGAUCCACGUGGGCUGGCGGGGGCCCCACGCCUGCGCGUGCGUGGCGGCGCGCAGCAGACGUGCGCGGGACCGGGAGGGCACCCGGGGCUCUGCUCCGAGCUCAUCCCGAAUCCUCAUCCUGCUCCCACCACCGGGCACCUCGUGCUUGGGUCCACAACCCCGGGCGCUGGCUGGGGUCACGGUGCCGGGGCUCGGCAGCUGCGAACCGUCCCCUCUGCGUGCUCGUCGCGGGGAGCUUCUGCCUGAAUAAGCCCCGGUUCCUCGGCGGCACAGGGAAACCCAAGAAGUGCCGAGCAGCCAGCUGCCUGCUUCGUUGCACGGCGUGUGCUCGCCCCGUCUGGGAGCGUGGAGAGCUCCGAGGGUGCCUGGCAGCGGGUCAGACAAAGCCCGUGCCCGUCCACGUGGACGCUCACCGUGGCGUGGGGGAUUGGAGAUGCAAACCCCAAGCCCCAGCGCAGCUCCCUGCUCUGCCUUUGCUCAGAGCAUCAUGCAGAAAAAGCAAAAGCAAAGCCCCUCGGGUCCCCUGGGCAAGGAAACCGAGAGCUGGCCUGUGCAGGAAAGCACUUUUGGAGAGGGACAAGUUCAGGUGGCCACGGUGGCGCGACAAGGGGAUUUUGGGACGAUGCUCCACCUUCACGUUAGCCAAAAGCAGCAGCCUGGAGAGAGUAUUGAUGAGUUUUGUGGGGUUUGCUGUGGGUUUAGAGGUGACAGACAUCACCGAGGGCAGCCCCAGCUUCAGCUCGGCUCGCACCCUGGCCACUGGCAGCUCCUCGCCCCAGCCUAGCUCCCGGCAGGCUGAUUUCAAUUCUCCUCGUCUGGGGCUGGAAGGGAGGCGAUGUGAAAGGGCCAGGAGAGGGCCCCUUCCCCGGGUAACACUUUAUUUCUUCCAGCAUGGGCGAGUGGAGCCCAAGCCAGCGGCAUCUCCUGGCCGCUGGCACGGUGCAGAGCCAGCACCGUGCCCAGGCACCGCUCCUCCAAGGAGCCACUCAGUUUGCCUGUAA
rnacentral:lncRNA from 1 species